CUCUCUCGUUUGUCAGUCUCCGCAGGGUGAAUGUUGAGAGCUGUGGGCGCUGAUGGCAGGCAGAGCGAGUGCUGAGUUCUGACAGACCACAGCUGCUGCUGCUGCUGCCCUCAUUCAGCUUAGAAAUAUUUACUGACCUCAUUGAUAAAUAUUUAACUGUAUCUACUACAAACAUUUUUGUUUGUGUGUGUUUGUUUUUACUGAAACAUUAAUAGAGUGUAAAAUACCAGAUAGAGAGCUGUGUAAACACAGGCCUUCAUCAGGUUAGACUCCAUAUUGAAUUUAAUGUGGAUGAAGCAGAGACCGAAAUUGACAAAUAUAUUACUAUUAUACAGAAUAUAAUUUAUCUUUCAAAGCAAUAAUAAUAAUAAUAAUAAUAAUAAUAAUAUGUUUUAUUAAAACAUAAUUUUCAGGAAUAUCACAAUUUUCCAUCAUUUUUUUUUUAAUUUUUAAACCUUACAGUUUGUGCAGCAGUUUGUUUUUCCAAAAAUAAAAUGAAUUUAUCACAUUUCAUUUGAUUACAUUUUAAUAUUAUUAUAAAUGAAUUAUGAGUUCAUUUGAUUAGUCAUUUUUGAGAAUAUUUUUGUAUUAAAUCAUAAAACACAGUGCAGAAAAAUUAAAAGCAUUGAAUUUCUCAUUUUACAUGGCAUUAUUAUUAUUUAUAUUGAUUUGAUUGGUCAGAUUUGCACAUGCAUGAACGAUGUUCUUCACGAGGGUUUGUGAAAGCUGUAGUGUGUUUGUUGGAAGAAGCUCUUUCCUGAAUGUGAGGAAGUGUUGGGCUGUUCAGAUCAGACCCCCUCCGAACACUCGAGCCCCUUUCCACAAUAUACAGAGGGUGGGGCACAGGAAAAGAGGAAAUGACUCAAUCCCAUUGAAAACUCUACUAUUACCACACAUUCUCCCAUGAGUGUGCACAUUUUUUUCAAUAAGACACAUUAAUAUUAGAGCGCAUGUGUCCAGCUUCUCUGAGACCGGCAGCACAUUCACCGUUCUCUGCUCUCCUCUCCUUUUUUCAUCCAUUUUCCAACUUUCUCUCCCACGCAGCUCCAUCUUUUAUUAAUCAGUCUGUCCGCUGCACCCCAGAGUGCUCCAUACGUCUCACAGUCGAGGCUCUUGUGAGAUUCAACAUAAAAGACGCCGCUUCAAAAGACUUACAGCACAAUACAGUGGCCUGCUCACGUGGAACCAGGUUUCACUGUCACGAGUUUGUCACAUUUGGCAAAUCUCAGCACACGUUGCAGCUGACACCCGAACACUGCAGUAAAAAAUAAUGACAGUGUUCUUUAGGAUCGGCUGUUUCCAGAUUAGAGGCUGUGAACUCUGGGUUCCUUGUUUCCGUGGUCGGGGUGUGUGCCUUUGCUUCUUUCCUCUGAUGACUAUCGUGUGUGUGUGUGUGUGUGUGUUAGUUGCUGCAAGUUCAAGGUGGGAAUUGUGGGAAAACUGAGCAGAAAGGAAGUUUCAAGUCACUGCAUUUAUG
rnacentral:lncRNA from 1 species